rnacentral:rRNA from 1 species
GACGAACGCUGGCGGCGUGCUUAACACAUGCAAGUCGAACGGAAAGGCCCCUUUGGGGGUACUCGAGUGGCGCACGGGUGUGUAACACGUGUGUAACCUGCCCUUGACUUCGGGAUAACUUUAGGAAAACGGGGCUAAUACCCGCUAGGAAUCCUUGCUGCAUGGUGGGGGUUGGUAAGCUUCGGCGGUUUUGGAUGGACUCGCGGCUUAUCAGCUUGUUGGUGGGGUAGUGGCUUACCAAGGCUUUGACGGGUAGCCGGCCUGAGAGGGCGACCGGCCACAUUGGGACUGAGAUGCGGCCCAGGCUCCGACGGGUGGCAGCAGGGGGGAAUAUUGCACAAGGGGCGGAGGCCUGGUGCAGCAGCGCCGCGGGCGGGAUGACGGCCUUCGGGUGGUGAACCGCUUGCAGCAGGGGCGAAGCUUGUGGUGACGGUACCUGCAGAAGAAGCACCGGCUAACUACGUG